CCUACGGGAGGCAGCAGUCGAGAAUCAUUCACAAUGGGGGAAACCCUGAUGGUGCGACGCCGCGUGGGUGAAGAAGCGCCUCGGCGCGUAAAGCCCUGUCAGCCGGGAAGAAAAUGACGGUACCUGAAGAAGAAGCCCCGGCUAACUACGUGCCAGCAGCCGCGGGAAUACGUAGGGGGCAAGCGUUAUCCGGAUUUACUGGGUGUAAAGGGGGCGCAGACGGCGAUGCAAGCCAGGAGUGAAAGCCCGGGGCCCAACCCCGGGACUGCUCUUGGAACUGCGUGGCUGGAGUGCAGGAGGGGCAGGCGGAAUUCCUGGUGUAGCGGUGAAAUGCGUAGAUAUCAGGAGGAACACCGGUGGCGAAGGCGGCCUGCUGGACUGCAACUGACGUUGAGGCCCGAAAGCGUGGGGAGCAAACAGGAUUAGAUACCCGGGUAGUC
rnacentral:rRNA from 1 species